GUGAACGCUGGCGGUAGGCCUAACACAUGCAAGUCGAACGGCAGCACAGUAAGAGCUUGCUCUUACGGGUGGCGAGUGGCGGACGGGUGAGGAAUACAUCGGAAUCUACUUUUUCGUGGGGGAUAACGUAGGGAAACUUACGCUAAUACCGCAUACGACCUAUGGGUGAAAGCAGGGGAUCUUCGGACCUUGCGCGAUUGAAUGAGCCGAUGUCGGAUUAGCUAGUUGGCGGGGUAAAGGCCCACCAAGGCGACGAUCCGUAGCUGGUCUGAGAGGAUGAUCAGCCACACUGGAACUGAGACACGGUCCAGACUCCUACGGGAGGCAGCAGUGGGGAAUAUUGGACAAUGGGCGCAAGCCUGAUCCAGCCAUACCGCGUGGGUGAAGAAGGCCUUCGGGUUGUAAAGCCCUUUUGUUGGGAAAGAAAAGCAGCAGGUUAAUACCCCGCUGUUCUGACGGUACCCAAAGAAUAAGCACCGGCUAACUUCGUG
rnacentral:rRNA from 1 species